CCGAGGGCGGCGUCGAGGCGGGCCAGGGGCAGCGGCGGCCCGCGGGAGCAGUGGUACUUGACGAAGGGGAAGCAGCCGGUGCGCAGCACGAGGCCGCCAGAUCGCCCUGCCUUUUCUUGGCACGCUUCGCCGCUGCAGUGCGAAGGAGGUUAAUGCCAGCGAGAGGGAUCUUAUUUAGGCCACGUUACGGAUACGCCGCGUUGGUUUUCCUUGGCGAAAUCUGAUGAGAGCUUCGGAGGUUAGACUUUCGUUCUUUGAGUCUUUCAGGCCUCUUCAAAGAGAAGAUCUUUAACAUCAUAACAAAUCACAUUCCUGGGAGUUUUAAUCUAAAUAAAACUUAAGGUUUUGACCCAUUAAUAUUCUAUAUGAGGGGAAAAAAAAUGACUGUACAGAAGAGUAAACUCAGAAACGGAGCUGGGUUUUUUUUCCCUUGUAAUAAUUAUGAGCAAUAUCUCAAACUCAGCAAUCUUAGACCAUUGAGCUGUGUAGUAUGAAUGUGCUAAUUAAUCAAUUACUAUCCAACAACGUACCGUUUAUUUACUGUAAUGUACUACAUGUGUGUAGAACCAGUAAUUAUUAAUCAUCGUCAGUAACAAAUUUGACUCAAGUUCAACUUCUUAUAAUUAAUAGAGCAUAUAGUUAGCUUUAAUAUCUUUCUUUAUUAGCAGCAACAAUGACUGGAAAGAAAGUGGGACCCGAUGUUGUGGUUCAUUGAAAUGCAGGUUGGACUAAUGUACUAUACUCUAGCAACACUACCUUGCUAGUAUAGUUCAUGGUCAGUUUAUGUUUUAACCCCAAAACAUGUACUUGUAAAUUUAUGCUGAAUUGAAAUCUGGUGAACAUACCCCGGCAUAAGUAGUUCUGAUUUUUAAAAUAGAUUAGCUUGGAGUUUUGAGAGAUUUCGCAGUCGUGGACUUAAAUGCUUGUGUGGCUCUUUCUUUUAAAAAUGCAUGGAGAGGAAAAAAAUAAUUCAAUAGCUGUUUGGAGAGCAGCCUUUCACUCACCGAAUAAAUGUAUUUAUAUCUA